rnacentral:sRNA from 1 species
GCCGGGCGUGGUGGCGGGCACCUGUAAUCCCAGCUACUCAGGAGGCUGAGGCAGGAGAAUCACUUGAACCCAGGAGGCAGAGGUUGCAGUGAGCCGAGAUCGUGCCACUGCACUCCAGCCUGGGUGACAGAGUGAGACUCUGUCUCAA